ACAACCCUACGGCCCUCGGGGGGCCGAAAAUUUACGGAAAACCGAAGCUUACCGGCGGCGGUGCUCUCGGGUGCGGCGGCUCUCCGGUGAAGUUCGUGUUUUAGUGAUUCGGCUCCGAUCAACCUGUAGAGAAAAGAAUGGUGAUCACGGUGAUAUAAAAAUUGCAUUAAACGGAGGCCGGGAAGGGCCUCAUCGGAGGCAAAAACUGAGGAGGGGCGUGGCGGCGCCGCUGGCUUUCGGCCGUGUUUUCCGAC
rnacentral:lncRNA from 1 species